CUGGAGAUCUGGAUUUGUCUACAAGAUGCAGUUCAGUACAUCAGAAGAGAGCAGAAGCAGAGCCCAGCUGUGUGUCUAUGAAGAGUGACGCGUCUAUGGCUCCACCAAUAAAAUUUAAGAGUGAAAACACACGACCUGCUGUCAGUGUGGCUAGAGAUGAUCAUACUGGAGACCUGCAGCAGGAUUCACU